UUUUGUGGGGUGCUCGAGUGGCGAACGGGUGAGUAACACGUGAGUAACCUGCCCUUGACUUUGGGAUAACUUCAGGAAACUGGGGCUAAUACCGGAUAGGAGCCAUCUUUAGUGUGGUGGUUGGAAAGUUUUUUCGGUGUAGGAUGAGCUCGCGGCCUAUCAGCUUGUUGGUGGGGUAAUGGCCUACCAAGGCGGCGACGGGUAGCCGGCCUGAGAGGGUGUACGGCCACAUUGGGACUGAGAUACGGCCCAG
rnacentral:rRNA from 1 species